CAUUACUCUUCUUUAUAGAUAAAAAUCUGGUGUGCAACCACACUACUUUCAUAAUACCUGCAAUGCUUUAAAAAAAAAAAAAAAAAAAAAAAAAAAAUGGGGAAGUAAAAAAUCCAAGUACCGACCAAACCCAAAGUUGCUUAACUCGACAUUUUUAUAUUGUUUUUAGGUGUAAAUACGUAUAUUAAGCAUGUUUUAUUCUAAUAAAUUUUCUCAUAAAAUGUACCAUUUCGGAGUAAAUUGCGAAAAAACGUAAGUGGAUCGGAAAAUCGUUUGAUUAAUCGACCCAAAAAAGUUGGUCGAUUUUUACGAAAAUGUUACAGUCGCGUCCCAUAGGUACCCUAAGUAUGCAUAAAAAGUUUCAAGUUCCUACGACCUACCGUUUUUGAGAUAUUUUGUAUACACACACACACACACACACGGACAUACAUACAUACAGACCUUGGUCGAAAAUCGAACUUUUUUCAAAAUUUCUUGCCGAAUUAGAGCUUUUACACUAGGAAUCCGAAAAGUCGAAAAUCGACCCGAAAACAAAACUUUCAUAUUACCUAUAGG
rnacentral:lncRNA from 1 species